CCCUGCUCUUUCGCUGCUCAGGUUAAACAUGAUAUAUAAGUCACUCGGAUAACUUAAAAAUGUAAUUGUUUGCCUUAUUUCGGUGUUUUAUUUGUUCGUGAGUAAAUCGGGUUGGCUGAGAUCAAAGUUAUUAGAUUAUUAGAUUAAAUAAAACUUUAUUAAUCCAUCGGGUGGGUUCUUCCGGGAUUUUCACACAGCUGAAUAAACGUCAAACAGAAAACUGAUUAAACAGAAGUGUGAGACGGUCGAGAAUUUACGCCAGUGUCCUGUUAUAUUUUAGAUAGCAAGGAGCAGACGGCCGAGUUUAUUAAACUCCACCGAGACAGCGGUGACGCAAAUCUGAAGGCUAGACCGUCCCAUUUCACAGCCUCGCACUUCCGGCCUUCUCGGUCUACGAAGGACCCCGCCCACGUAGACCAUGAAGGCCGGGUCCUCCGAAGGAUGCAGCCGACGUUUUGGGACACACCUAUAAUACGCACCGUACGUAGUACGCGUAGUGCGCGUACUUCAAGCGUGCAGACCCUGAAUUGGGACACAGCCGAAUUUUAAAACUUAGUAGCGGCCGCCAUUGUUGGCAGCUGAAAUUUGGCUGGACCGCGCUAUGAAUUCUGGGAUAUGGUGGGCCACGAAGGACACACCCGACCCAUCCUUCAAAUUCGGGGAAAUGAAGGACGCGUUUGUCGGCUGCAUUUGAAGGAGUCGACGAAUUGGGACAGCCUUCGUCGUCGGGCUGUGACGUAAUCGGCCUUCAAAUGCGGCCUCCGGAGGAUGCAGCCGACGUUUUGGGACACAGCUUAUAUUUGCUGUGUCCGAAUUCAGGGGAAGGAUGCUCAUAAGGACACUACCUACCUAUGUCACAAGGUAGUGUCCUUAGACGGACGGGUAGUCAGGAAGUGAGCGGCUGUGGACAGCCCCCUUUUUUUCUCCAUAGAAACUUUAUUGAACAAACAAUGAGUAUCCAACAUAACAGAUGGGCUGUGGACAGCCUCCUAGCCUUCAACUCCGCCCUUACUUGCGUGUUUUUCCGGACGCUAGCGCCACAGCGCAAAAACUUUAAAAUGGACCCAGAAAUGUCGCUCCGUUGUUUGGACAAUUUUAACUCUCGAGGAGCUAGAAAAACUUAUACUAAUAAUAUAGCAUCCACCAUCUCCUGCUUGCAUAUCUCUGUAAACAUCUUAGUGGUGUGGCAGCCAUGAGUGAGCCCUGCAAACCCUGUGGAUGGAGGAUGCAGUGGACAGUGGGAGGAAGCAUCCUGAAGCUCUUUGCAGACCACCCUGUGUGAUUCUCCACUCGCCCACCAGAAAAGACAAACCGCAGGUCUCAGUUGCAGCAGCUCAUCCACGUCUGAUCUUGCUUGGGCAGAUUCAGCAACACUGCCAGAGACUUCCUGUAAUCUAUUACAGUUGUUAAAGAAACGGUCCAGGAACAGGUCACUCAGGUUACUCCUGUGUGAACAACUGAAAAUAUUGUUUUUCCAUCUUUACAUACUGUGUAUUAGAAAUAUUCUUGUUUAAUUGUUAUUGUUAUUUACUUUAUUGCUAUCAAAUAAAUAUCCAAGUAAUAUUGUUCAAAGUUAGCGUCAUGUUCAUACGUGUUACAAAUGCCUGUAAAUCAAAUUGAGUUCAGUGACAAUUACUGUCUGUUUGAAUCAAUUUAUUAAUAACAUAAAACCUUUAAACUAAUGCAACACAUAUAACAAUGUAACAAAUUUAUUCAAAUAAAUAAAUUUCUCAAUACAUAACUCAUUUGGGAACUAAUCUUUCUAGAAGUGAAAACAGUCUGUCCGUCCUCUCCCUGCUCUCCUCUCCCCAGCCUCUCUUUGCUGCCUCAUGUCCUCUCUGAUGAGGUCUAGCAGCUCAUCAUCCCUGUCUCCUUUCCUCUUUCUCCCUGUCGUAGGUGGCUGAGUCGCUUCGUCAUCGCUGUCGUUUUGGUCACCCACUGCUGCGCUUGGCCCUGGAGUGUCCUCAGGGAGAGAGGACAUUAGGACAGGAGGCUUAAUGGAAGGCAUCUGUCCUAUCACCUCAUCCAUGAGGGCAAACCAGGGCCAAGUAGCAGCAGUGGGCUUCCCACUGACCCCCUCUCCUGAGCCUGGAUACUUGCAAUCCUAAAGGCAGAGGAAAUCAAAAAUGACAGCAGGCAAAUAAAAACACCACAACAACUCUUAUUAAUUGCACAUUUAUUAACUUGUGUUCUUGAGAAUUAUCUUCUUGAUAACACACAUACGUAUUUUGUAUUCUUUAAAGUUAUCUCAUGUCUUCUGGCCUGCAAGGGGGUGACUUUCCCCUGCAGGCCCAUCUUCUCCAGAAUUGUCCUGAUCACACACAACAAAUAAGAGAAGAAAGGAAACCAUGGCAACUAUGUUAAUCCCUAAGCCCAAAGGUUUUCACAGCAGAACACCAGAGGAACACCGUCUGGAUAUCACAGGUUCUGUACAGCAGCGGUCCGUGAGUCGUUUGGUACCGGGCCACAGAGUUAAGGCUCCGGUGUGAAAUUUAUGGUUUUCAGGGGUUUUAUCGUUAACUCGGUUUCCCUGAGUCUUUCCCUUGUUGUAGUUGUGCGUCUUAUUUUGAAAGAAAUAUUUACACGUUACCAUAGCGACCAGAGAGCAUUAAGCGGCAGAGAGGAGGAUGUUACUGUCAAUAUUGGCGCAUUUUCAGGAGGACGCUGCUAAUAAAGUUACACAAUUACACAGUACAUUCACGUUUAUUAUUAUAUUUACAAAAUACCACAGUUUUUGUCUUGGUCGGAUCAUUUUAUGUGGUUGUAUUUAUCCGCGAUACCUUAAAGGCUCCGUGUCUGACAUAAACCGGUCUGUGGCGCAAAAAGGUUGGGGGACCGCUGCUGUAGAGCAUGAAGGUUAAUAGGACCGCACUCAUAUGAAUAUGAUGUGUAAAUUGAUUUAUUCUUGUACAUCCACGCCACAGUGGCCCAAUUCUUCACCCCAGUGAAGAGGUGAUCGUUUUCUCCUCGUUUUAAUAAAUUAAGCCGUUUGGUCUUUGUUCCCCACAACAUAUUACCAUUUCGAAAAAAUCUAAAUUAGCUGUAUGUAAGCGGCAAUACAUGAAAAAUCUCGGGACCCGCGAUACAAGCUGGUUUACGGUUAUUUAAAUAAUAGAAACAUGUCUAUGCAGAUGCCCAAAGCUUAAAGUGUUUUCCUCUCCUGCUUCGACCACCAUCGUUAUCAGAAACAAAUCUCCUCUAUGACCCGCAAUGAAUCCUGGGAUAUGGUAGGACGCGAAGGAUACAUCGGACCCAUCCUUAAAAUUUAGGGAAAAGUAGGACACAUUUGUCGUAUGGGCGCAGAUUUCUGCCCAUAUUAUCGCCACAUUUUGAGUACUCUUUGAAUUCGGACAGCCUUCGUCGCGUCGCCGUGACGUCAUUGCCUCCAAAUAUGGCAUUGAAGCAUCCUUCCUCUGAAUUCGGACACAACUAACCCUCAAAUUCGCGGAAAAGUAGGACGCAUUUGUCGUCACAUUUUGAGUGCUCUUUGAAUUCGGACAGUCCUCGUCGCAACGCUGUGAUGUCAUUGCAUCCAAAUAUGGCAUUUUAAUCAUCCUUCCCCUGAAUUCGGACACAGCCAUUAAGCUUUCUCCGAAAUGUGUCACAUCAUAAAGAGCACUGCAGAACAUUCUCACACACGGAUGAAUAAAGGUUCAGAUGGUAAAACGCAGCUUCCGAUUGGAUGAUACAAUAGCUGGUUUAAUAGUGACUUAUUUAGAUACACAGAUAAAUAAACUUACAUAAGCAGAUCGAGUCUCAUACGAAGCACACAAGCGCACUCGGCCGUGUGCUGGAUGAAUGGGACGACGGAGUUAAUGUCUCAGCUCUAUGUGGCCAUAAAAUUGGAUGGAUCUUUACGGCUGUGUCAUCCCAUCACAUAAUAGUCCUUCAAGCUCCAUUUUUCUCCUCUGAGCUGAACUGCAGCUAUUUCAAUUUAGGCCAUUCAGUCGUUUCAAUCCCCUCUCCGAGAUGAUUCAGCGGUGAAAGAGAGCGACCCUGCCCGCCCCUCACCUCUCUCAGCUCUUAAUAUUUGUGUUUACCCUAGAUGGCUUCAUUUAUUAGAGCAGCUGGGACCAAAGGGAGCAUGUAAUGUAAAAUUAAAAAUGUACAACUGAGACCUCAUUUAUAAUACAUUUAGUGAGUCAGAUCAGAUUUGGGGGAUGCUCACACUGAUAAAUCAGUUCACUUUGCACUCAGUUGUGGUUCUCUUUCUGCAUGUUUAGAGGAUAGCAGGCUGAGCCGCACCAAGUUUCCUG
rnacentral:lncRNA from 1 species